rnacentral:rRNA from 1 species
UAAGCCAUGCGAGUCUUUGUAGUAAUACAAGGCAGACGGCUCAGUAACACGUAGUCAAUCCACCCUAUGGACGGGGAUAACCUCGGGAAACUGAGAAUAAUACCCGAUAGAUCAUUAUACCUGGAAUGGUUUAUGGUUCAAAUGAUUUUUCGCCGUAGGAUGGGACUGCGGUCUAUCAGCUUGUUGGUGAGGUAAUGGCCCACCAAGGCUAUUACAGAUACGGGCUCUAAGAGGAGAAGCCCGGAGAUGGGUACUGGGACACGGACCCAGGCCCUAUGGGGCGCAGCAGGCGAGAAGACUUUGCAAUGUGCGAAAGCACGACAAGGUUAAUCCAAGUGUUUUCUGCUAAAGAAAUCCUUUGUUAGUUCUAAAACCACUAUCGAAUAAGGGGUGGGCAAGUUCUGGUGUCAGCCGCCGCGGUAAAACCAGCACCUCAAGUGGUCAGGAUGAUUAUUGGGCCUAAAGCAUCCGUAGCCUGCUAUGUUAGUUUUCGGUUAAAUCCAUGUGCUCAACACAUGGGCUGUCGAGAAUACUACAUAGCUAGGGAGUGGGAGAGGUAGACGGUACUCGGUAGGAAGGGGUAAAAUCCUUUGAUCUAUUGAUGACCACCAGUGGCGAAGGCGGUCUACCAGAACACGUCCGACGGUGAGGGAUGAAAGCUGGGGGAGCAAACCGGAUUAGAUACCCGGGUAGUCCCAGCUGUAAACUAUGCAAACUCAGUGAUGCAUUGGCUUGUGGCCAGUGCAGUGCCGCAGAGAAGUCGUUAAGUUUGCCGCCUGGGAAGUACAUACGCAAGUAUGAAACUUAAAGGAAUUGGCGGGGGAGCACCACAAGGGGUGAAGCCUGCGGUUCAAUUGGAGUCAACGCCAGAAAUCUUACCCGGAGAGACAGCAGAAUGAAGGUCAAGCUGAAGACUUUACCAGACAAGCUGAGAAGUGGUGCAUGGCCGUCGCCAGCUCGUGCCGUGAGGUGUCCUGUUAAGUCAGGUAACGAGCGAGAUCCCUGCCUCUAGUUGCCGCCAUUACUCUCAGGAGUAGUGGGGCGAAUUAGCGGGACUGCCGCAGUUAAUGCGGAGGAAGGUGGGGGCCACGGCAGGUCAGUAUGCCCUGAAACUCUGGGGCCACACGCGGGCUGCAAUGGUAGUUACAGUGAGUUCCGAAUCCGAAAGGAGGAGGUA